rnacentral:tRNA from 1 species
UAGACUGAAGCCAGUAAUAGGGUAUUUAGCUGUUAACUAGAUCUUCGUAGGUGUCGAGUCCUGCCAGUCUAGGGGAAAGGGG